GGCCCUGCAGCUCUGAGAGAGGAGCCCCAGCCCGGGAUUCCCAGCUGCUCCAAUUCUCUGAGCAGGACUGAGCACAGACGAAACACCAUGGAGCUGGGGCUGAGCUGGGUGGUCCUGGCUGCUCUUCUACAAGGUGUCCAGGCUGAGGUGCAGCUGGUGGAGUCUGGGGGAGGCUCGGUGCAGGCUGGAGGGUCUCUGAGACUCUCCUGUGCAGCCUCUGGAUACACCUACAGUAGCUGCAGCAUGGGCUGGUACCGCCAGGCUCCAGGGAAGGAGCGCGAGUUGGUCUCAACUAUUAUUAGUGAUGGUAGCACAUACUAUGCAGACUCCGUGAAGGGCCGAUUCACCAUCUCCCAAGACAACGCCAAGAACACGGUGUAUCUGCAAAUGAACAGCCUGAAACCUGAGGACACGGCCAUGUAUUACUGUAACACAGACACAGUGAGGGGAAGUCAUUUUCUGCUAAUUGGGCCCCGUGUACUAAACUUCCUGACCCGCUUUGUCAGUGAGCGGAUAGAGGCUAUAAAACUUCAGAUGUUAGCCUCCAAUUAUGAGCCCCUGCAAAAGCUAAGUGAUGAUGCUUACACCAACUAG